rnacentral:rRNA from 1 species
AGCUCCAAUAGCGUAUAUUAAAGUUGCUGCAGUUAAAAAGCUCGUAGUUGCAUUUCCGAGGCAAGGGAUUAGUCCGACCUUUGGUGGGUAUUUAAUCCUCUUGCCUCGUCCUUGAGUGGUGCUUCUUGGUAUUAAGUUAUCGAGGAGAUAGCCGCUCAUCGUUUACUGUGAGAAAAUUAGAGUGUUCAAAGCAGGCUUAUGCCGUUGAAUAUAUUAGCAUGGAAUAAUAAGAUAGGAACUAGGUACUAUUUUGUUGGUUUGAGAACCAAGGUAAUGAUGAAUAGGGACAGUUGGGGGUAUUCGUAUUCAGUUGUCAGAGGUGAAAUUCUUAGAUUUACGGAAGACGAACUACUGCGAAAGCAUUUACCAAGGAUGUUUUCA